AGAGCGAACGCUGGCGGCAGGCCUAAUACAUGCAAGUCGAACGGACCCUUCGGGGUUAGUGGCGGACGGGUGAGUAACACGUGGGAACGUGCCCUUUGGUUCGGAACAACUCAGGGAAACUUGAGCUAAUACCGAAUGUGCCCCCAUCCUUAAACAAGAUGGGUGGGAAAGAUUUAUCGCCAUUGGAGCGGCCCGCGUCUGAUUAGCUAGUUGGUGGGGUAAAGGCUCACCAAGGCUACGAUCAGUAGCUGGUCUGAGAGGAUGAUCAGCCUCACUGGGACUGAGACACGGCCCAGACUCCUACGGGAGGCAGCAGUGGGGAAUAUUGGACAAUGGGCGCAAGCCUGAUCCAGCCAUGCCGCGUGGAUGAUGAAGGCCCUAGGGUUGUAAAGUCCUUUCGACGGGGAAGAUAAUGACGGUACCCGUAGAAGAAGCCCGGCUAACUUCGUGCCAGCAGCCGC
rnacentral:rRNA from 1 species